GCGGUAAGAGCUCGCUAGGGUCGUUUGUUACGUCGGAUGUGAAAACCUGAGGCUCAACCUCAGGCCUGCAUUCGAUACGGGCAAACUAGAGUUUGGUAGGGGAGACUGGAAUUCCUGGUGUAGCGGUGGAAUGCGCAGAUAUCAGGAGGAACACCAAUGGCGAAGGCAGGUCUCUGGGCCAAUACUGACACUGAGGAGCGAAAGUCUGGGGAGCGAACAGGAUUAGAUGCCCUGGUAGUCCAGACCGUAAACGGUGGGCACUAGUUGUGGGAACCUUCCACGGUUUCUGCGACGCAGCUAACGCAUUAAGUGCCCCGCCUGGGGAGUACGAUCGCAAGAUUAAAACUCAAAGGAAUUGACGGGGCCCCGCACAAGCAGCGGAGCAUGCGGCUUAAUUCGACGCAACGCGAAGAACCUUACCAAGGCUUGACAUAUAGGGAAAAGUGGCAGAGAUGUCAUGUCCGCAAGGGCUCUAUACAGGUGGUGCAUGGUUGUCGUCAGCUCGUGUCGUGAGAUGUUGGGUUAAGUCCCGCAACGAGCGCAACCCUCGUUCUGUGUUGCCAGCAUUUANUUGGGGACUCACAGGAGACUGCCG
rnacentral:rRNA from 1 species